AUGGCCGGGCAAGUUCAAGCCAGAUCUGCCUCCUCGCUACGACGGCACCCCCGACCGCGCGGAGUUCCUGCAGCUCUACGAGCUAAGCACCGAGGCGGCAACGGCGACGAAAAAGUCAUGGCGAACUGGUUCCCCAUGGCUCUCAAGGAUGGCGCUCGUUCGUGGCUCCUGAACCUGCCUCCAGGCUCCAUCUCCUCCUGGAACGAGAUGUGCGACCGCUUCGUUGCCAACUUCCAGGGCACUCGCGACCGCCCUCCGGCCGCGGGUGACCUGCGUCGCGUCAAGCAGCAGCCAGGAGAGACCCUCCAGAAGUACAUCCAACGCUUCAACAACGUUCGCCUCAAGAUCCCCAAGGUGACGGACGAGGCCAUCAUCUCUGCGUUUUCUGACGGCGUCCACGACGUCAAGAUGAAGGAGGAGCUCGCCAUCCACGAGGAGCCGUGCACGUCCUUGGAGUUGUUCAAUCUGGCGACCAAGUGCGCAAGGGCUGAGGAAGGGCGCCUUUCCCUCCUCGAGCUCCCAGCUGCCGACCUGGAGGAGAAGAAAGCCAAGGCCAAGAACGUGAAGCGCAAGGGGGUGGCCGUGCUCACGGCGAAGCCAGACACGAAGCGCGGCCGGGACCAGCCCGAGUCAUCCAAGAGCAGCCGACCAUUCUGCGCCUUCCACAACGUUCACAACCACAACACUAAUGACUGUCAAGAGCUCAGGGCCAUUCGAGAUGGACGCCUCGGUCGACGCCCCGAGCGCAACGACCGGGGCUACGGCCGAGGAGGAGGACGUGGCGGAGGACGCUGGGACGACCGUGGCCCUCGCCAGGAGUGGCUAGACCGGCCUCGGGAGGACCGCUGGCAAGAUCAGCCUCGCGAGGGCGCCUGGAGGGAUCAGCCUCGCGAGGACCGCCCUCAGGCCAACGCCGGUCUUCCCCCACUGCCUCCACCGCCGAGAAGGAAUGACGACCACCAUCAAGACGAGGGGGCUGGGGGCUUCCAGGAGCCACGUGCUAUCGCCUGCAUCCUGGGCGGAGCUCAAGCCCCAGCCUCUCAGCGAAUCUUCAAGCAGUUUGCUCGCGAGGUGAACGCAGUCCUCCCCAGGCUCGAGGCCACACGCCCGCUUAGGUGGUCCAAGUGCGCCAUCACCUUCAGUUCAGCAGAUCAGCUCAAGUGCGCGGCCACCGCUGGCGCCCUCCCGAUGCUUUGCUCACCCGUCAUCAGCAACGAACAAGUCACCAAGACCCUCAUCGACGGCGGCAAAGGGCUUAACGUCCUGUCCGUCGAGACAUUCGACAGCCUUCAAGUGCCCUACGAUCAGCUUCAGCCUACCAAGCCCUUUUCAGGAGUGACCGACGGUUCCACCACGCCGAUAGGGCAGGUCCGCCUCCCUGUCACCUUCGGACAGCGCAACAACUACCGCACCGAGCUCAUCGACUUCGACGUCACCCACAUCCGUCUGCCAUACAAUGCCAUCCUCGGGUAUCCGGCCCUGGCCAAGUUCAUGGCGGUGACACACCACGGCUACAACGUCCUCAAGAUGCCAGAAAGCGGCGGGAUCAUCACAGUUCCCUGCGAAGAAAAAGAUGCGGUGUGCUCCCUCGAGCGCGCCUUCCAAGCAGCGUCAAUCGAAGACCCCGACAGCAGUGCAGCACUGUACCCUCCUGAGGUCGUCCCCAAGAAGAAGCAGCAGCUACUCCGCACAGGGCCUCAGGAGAGCGGCGCCGCAAGCGGAGCCAAGUCAGAAUCGGCGCCCGCGUCUGGGGCGCCUCCCUCCCUCGCAUAG
rnacentral:rRNA from 1 species